UGAGUAACGCGUGGAUAACCUACCUGUCCGACCGGGAUAACACCUGGAAACGGGUGCUAAUACCGGAUACGCUCACGGGUUCACAAGGGCUUGUGAGGAAAGGGGAGACCCGCAGACAGAUGGGUCCGCGUCCCAUUAGCUAGUUGGGGGUGUAAUGGACUCCCAAGGCGACGAUGGGUAGCCGGCCUGAGAGGGUGACCGGCCACACUGGAACUGAGACACGGUCCAGACUCCUACGGGAGGCAGCAGUGGGGAAUCUUCCGCAAUGGGCGAAAGCCUGACGGAGCAACGCCGCGUGAGUGAAGAAGGCCUUCGGGUUGUAAAACUCUGUCAUCAGGGAAGAAGAAAGUGACGGUACCUGAGGAGGAAGCCCCGGCUAACUACGUGCCAGCAGCCGCGGUAAAACGUAGGGGGCGAGCGUUGUCCGGAAUUACUGGGCGUAAAGGGCGCGUAGGCGGUUAUCCAAGUCAGGGGUGAA
rnacentral:rRNA from 1 species